rnacentral:lncRNA from 1 species
GAGUGGUACAGACUCUGGAAGAUGUCGUUAGGGAGAAAAGAGAAUCCAUCUUUCAGCUUCCUUAUCUAGGUCUGCAAGACAGAGCUGGCCUGCAGGUCACAUGACAGAAGCCUCAGAAAGCCUCACCUCCCUGCCUCGCUGGUGAAACGGAUGCUCCGGAUGGGAACUCUAGCGGACAUGGGAGCCAUUGGAGACAGUUCGGGGGACUAGAUUCCAAACCUUCUGGCUGCCUCCUGGCUGCGUGCCUGCUAUGAACCAAACACAGUGCUUCUUGCGGUGCGGGGCAUGCGUGUGGAGGUCAGAGACAACUUGUGGGCGUUGGUUCUUUCCUUCUACCAUGAGGGUUCCAGGAAUCAAAACGACUUCAAGGAUCUCAAGUGACCAAGCUUCUGCAACUGGAGACUUUGCAAAUGCAGGAGCCCUGCCACUUCUGGCUUUGGAGAUGGAAGGAGGUGUGUGAUGAGAGCAGCCCGGAGACUGGGACACUGGGAGGGAUGGCUUUUCCCAGUGACACACUCAGAUGGACUCCAUCUUGCCUUCGCCUUGGUUUUGACUCCAUAGAACCUACUUCAGACUUUCCCCAGAGCUGCAAAGGUAGUAAAUGGGUGCAGUUUCAAAGUGACCACGCAGCUCUGGGGCAUUUGGUUCCAGCAGGAAAAGGACUGUGAUAUGGUGAGCGUGUAUUUUAUCAUAAUAAAAGAGAAACCACACCGUUAAAGCAAAGUGGUAGGCAAUUGCCCAGCUCAGUGUGGCUAUAAGGGAACUCUGGUAGCAAGCUAACUCAAGAACAGAAAGAGGUUUUAUUUUGCUCACAGUUUUGGUGAUUCAUGGACACGGUGCCUGAACUGGCUCAGGUCCAAUGAGGAUCUCAUGGCAACGGUAUGAACACAGCAUCUUGAACAGGAAGAGGAGAAUGCUGGGUGAGACCACACUGGGGACUAACGAGCCUCUCGUGAGAAUUACCAAGGAGGACCAAUGGACUGAUUUCUCCUGGGCACAACUCUGAUGGCCUAAGGCCUUCAAUUAGGCCUCUCCUCCAAAGGUUCCACCAUCUUCCAUGGUGCCACGUUGCAGAUCAAGCUUUUGAACACCAGGGACCUUGGGAGAUGCAAUGCUCAAACCACCUCCAGCUUUGUCCUCACUCGGGAGCCUGUCUGCUUCAUGCAGAUGGGAGCAGCCAGACAUAAGGGAGACUUUAAAAAACUCUGGGGUGAAAUUUGUGAAAUCUCUCUAAAAGUGGAGAGUCAGAGAAUUUGAAAACACUACUUAAAAUAUCACUGGUCUGAGCUCUGCUCUUUUUAUUUUUAUUUAAAAAAAAUCACCUAUCAUCUGUCUGUCUGUCUAUCUAUCUAUCUAUCUAUCUAUCUAUCUAUCUAUCUAUCUAACUAUCUAUCAUCUAUGAAUCUAUUGUCUUAUUGUCUGUCUAUCUAUCUAUCUAUCUAUCAUCAAUCUAUCAUCUAUGAAUCUAUUGCCUGCCUGUCUAUCUACUUAUCUACUUAUGUGUGGGCACAUCUGCCAUAGUGGAGUAUGUGGAGGCUGGGGGACAAUGUGGAAGAGUUAAGUCUCUCCUACCAUGUGGGUUCUAGGAUCAAACUCAGGUCAUCAGCCCUGCACUGGGCCACCCUGCCCAUUGGUUUUUAGUGGUAAGGUUGACACUAGUUACAUCCAGACAACCGUGUGUGGAAGCGAGAGGGGCCUCAGGUUGAUUAUGUCUUCUCAUCUAGGGAAGCUUGGCUCUCUCCCCAGGGUGGUUUUUCCCUGUGAUUUGCAGAUAGGCAGGGCUUUAAGCCCUUGACUGAUGUAAAACACCCCCCACCAGCCCUGAGUAUUCUCUCCUGGCAGAUCUCUCUCCAGUAGUCAUCUGUUCACACCCUGCUUUGCUGUGUGUCUUCCCAGCCCCCAGCUCAGAUACCCUGCUCCCCAGUCCAGGCCCCUGGGUCUGUCAUGCAGGAUGCUCCAGGUGCAAAGGCUGAGCAAGCAAAGGCCUCAGUGCCACUGAGAUGAGGUUCAUGCCAGGAAGACUCGGGGAGCCCCACCUUCUGGAUCCAUACCUCUGGAGUGUAGCUGAGAGUCAGCAGGAUGGGGGUGGGGCUGAGACCGGCUUGGACCCUCUUUCCUUGUGUGGCCUAUGGAGCCGUGUGGGUAUGGGUGUGUGUGUGCCGGGCUCAGCUCAUGGGCAGGCAGGUGGCUGUACAACAGGCACCACUGUAGGAGAAUGUCCUGUGAGGCUAGUCAUGUGCUCAGGGUUGACAUUCCUUCUGAAUCUUAGCAGUAACCUGUUUUCACCAUCUGGCACCCGAAGAAGCUCUGAGGCCUACUGAUUCAUCUAAGUAAGGGUCCUCAGGUCUGGGGGCCCAGCUGACUCCAAGGCCAAGCUUUGGCUCUCAGGGCUCUGCCUCAGGCAGCUGUGGUUUGAGCUUCAUAUCAGACCUUAGACUUUAGCAGCACCCAGAGCCUACCCAUGCUCUCUCUGGGGCAAAGAAAGCCAAGGAGAUUUGAGGUUGGCGGACAGGAUGGGCCAGGUUCUGUGCCAAACACAGUCUACGUCUUUACCUGGUCCCUCAGCAUUGCCUCUGUCUCCUUGAAUGCCAGGGCGUUUAUCUUGCCUUCCACAUCCAUGAAUCCAUCUGGGUAGCAGGAGUCUUUGGAGUAUCUCAAGGGACACUCGCCUUGUACAAAGGAGGAAACCCUUGGUGGGAUUGGCUUGCUUGGCCUGGCAAGCAUGGCGUGAAUGGGCCUAUGAAUAUGCCCAGCAGUCCUGAGGGGAAGUCACUGUCUUUAUCUUGGAGACUUAAGAUUAAUGUUCCUUCUCCAUUAAAGGUAGCAUAAAUAAUCAUAGCUGGGACUGUAGCCAGAUCUAUAUGACCCACUGCCAGGUGGUCACUAGGGAGCCCUAUUGUUCUCAGGGAAUGUCAGGGUCAAAUGACAGAGAGGGAAUGGGGAACCACAGUGGAGGCUGUGGAUAGCAAGCUGGCCAGCUGGGGCUCCUGGUGGCGGUGGUGGGGCAGACCUGCAAAAGGUGCCCACCAUCUUCUUGCCACAUCUUGCCCCCAAGCCCAGUCAGGGUCCUGCAGGCAGGCCUAGCAUCAAAGCUCUGAAUGGUAGCCCUGUGAAGUGAUUGAUCCCCUGUGUUCCAAGUCUGGCACCCCAUAACCCUAAUAGCUGCCUGCUGACUCAAGUCUUAACACAGUAGCAUGCUGGGAGGGGCAACUGUCCCCUUCUGGCAGUAAGCGCUGAGAGGGACUGACUCAGGGUCACCUGGGAGGUACAGAGCGAGUGGGAGUUUCCCAGGGCAAGACCUUACAGAGCAGGCCACAGCCUGGGUUAUUUGAAGCUCCUGUGUCUGCAUGUGAGACGUCUGCAGGAUGUCCUUUUCCUGGUUUUAUCUGGUGACAGUGACGUGUGGGUGGGAAUAGCAGGAAAUGAGUGACCAGUGGGGUGGCAAAAUUGGCAAGAGCCAACGCAGUGAGUGUGGAGAGGCUGCCUCCUCAGACACGGCAUGGCUCGCUUGUGUGUGUGUCUAUGUGUCUGUGUGUGUGUAUGUGUGUGUGUAUGUGUGUGGUCGCUGAGGCCCUGUGCAUCCUGUCAACUGCUGGUCUCCCCAGACAGGACCACAGCCAGAUCUUAGGGUCUGGGGCCAAGUGUGUGGACACUUUUGGAACAGGCAAAAGACAGAGAAGAAGACUGGGAAGAGGGGAAAGCGUGAGCAGAGAUAGGACUAGCUAUCCAGGAGACCAUGAUGAGCUGGUACCAUGCUCCAGGCUGCUGUUUGCCAUACUACAGGAUCCUCCUACCUCUAGUUAUGACUUUGAGAGGUGGCUGGGGGCGGGGCAUGGAUGCAGCUGGCUGAGAUCUUUAAAGUGGCUGAUGUUGGAGUGCUUCUAUCCUGAGUGAAGGACAUCAAGGAGAGGUGGCAGACCACAUGGCCAGCUUCUCUUGGGAAGUCCCUUUUACCGCCCCAGGCCCUCAGCCAGUGUGUCACCAACUCUACCCUAGCAUGGCUGUGCUGGGGGCUCAUAGGGUAGGAUGCUCUCUGGGCUCUGUCUCUUUAGGAGGUGCCCCUCUCUUAGGGACCCACCCAGUUUGCUCCAGCUUGUGUUGCUUUAUAAGGUGUCUCUGACUACUCUCUGUGAGAUGGCGGCGUGGCCCCCCACUAUGUGACCCUUUACCAUGUCUACACUCAUCUGUUUUCCCUCCAUACUUGUCUGGGCCACAGUCAGCAUUACUGGAAUUAUGGAAUUAUGGAAUGAUGGAAUUACGGUAUUUCCCACGUGGCCCAGUCCCCAAAGCCUCUCUGCACAGGGCAGACCCUGACAUCUGGCAGAGGUAAAGCCUCAGGCCCUUUUUGCCAGGUAGUUUCCCCAGGUAAGUGUCUUGACCCCAUGUCUCCUCACCCAUGAAUGAAUGAAUGAAUGAAUGGGAGUGAGGUGCUAGAGGCCGGGAAGGAGAAAAGAACACACGCAGCUCAGACUUGGAAUAAGGAGCCAGGCCUGAGGCUCUCUCUAGCAGCUGCCUGCACAGCUGAUGUAGGCCCCUCCCUGUGCCCAGGCGGACUGUUCAGGGCAGGCCCCGGAAUGGGAGAGCCUACACCUCAUAGAUGAGCAAUGGCUGUUGUCUGGUCUGCCAGCUUUGUGAAAGACAAAAGCCAGGGGUCCAUUUAAAAAUCAUUUUUUUUAUUAACAUCAUCUUCCUGUUUAGCCAAGUGUCUGUCAUGUAUAAGGAAUGUCGGUAAAUAUUCCAUUUGAAGCUUCUUUGUACAUAUUUCCAUCGAUAAAUAAACUCUGAAUUCAC